UACGUAGGCAGCGAGCGUUGUUCGGAGUUACUGGGCGUAAAGCGUGCGUAGGCGGUUGUCUAAGUCUGGUGUGAAAUCUCCCGGCUCAACUGGGAGGGUGCGCCGGAAACUGGAUGACUGGAGUGCCGGAGAGGUAAGCGGAAUUCCUGGUGUAGCGGUGAAAUGCGUAGAGAUCAGGAGGAACACCUGUGGUGUAGACAGCUUACUGGACGGUGACUGACGCUGAGGCACGAAAGCGUGGGGAGCAAACGGG
rnacentral:rRNA from 1 species